AUAACUGUCCUGUUGUUUCCAUAUUUCUCUGGAAUCUGUUGGCUCAUGUCUGAUGCUGCUUUUGCACCAAGUGACUGUGUUUUGAAGUUGUGAGGGGAAGCAGUGGGGAUCCUCCGUGGCUGCAGGUCCCCUGUGCACGAGCACGGCAGUCACUAUGGCCCUCAAAGCCUCCCCUCUGGGGUGUGUGCCCAGGGCUGAUGUGUGGCCUGUGUCACUGAACCAGCCUUGUCCUGCCAGGGACCAUGGUGAGAGGAGGCUUCAAAGGCCCAUAAGGAGGCCACCACAGGGCCAGCCCCAGUGCUCAGGAAACAUUUGGGGCCAGGGCCUUCCCCAGGGCCUGGUUUGAGUGACCACUGCUGCCAAAACAGGCCCAUCCACGACCCUGGGAGCCAUCACCAUCAGGCUGCCUCCUCAUUCCUGGGGCCCUGCAGGGCCUUGUCCCAUUCCCCCUCACCUGGCUUGAUCCUGACCCUCAGUGUGAAAGUCAGGGUGGAUGAAGUAGAAGGGGCAAGCCAUAGGAAAACAGAACAGUGGAUGCCAGGAGAGUAAAGCAGGAUCUUACAGCCACACCCGGCAUACUGUAACCAUGACUCAGUCUUGUGUUCAUCUUAUGCAGCAAAGCUAUCGGCCUAAUUUUGCAAGGCUGUUGGGAGUGGUUGAGAGUACACUGCUGUUGCUGAUACCAGUAAGAACAGAAAAGAUGGAUGAAAGUGGUAAGAUGAAAUUGUAAAUAAAAUCAGUGUUUUUUGUGUUUUUAUAUUACUUAAGAACUUUGGGAUGGAGCCAGAAACUGCCUGACUCAUUGUAAGGUCCUCUGUUUGUUGAUCUCCUUUAGGAGAUCCUU